AAAGAGUACAGAUAUGUGGUGAUGUUUAGUAAAGAUGAAGAAAACAGCCAUUUAAGGAGACUGGUUAGUAGUAGUAGUAGUGGUAGGGAAAUGGGUGCUCUCCUUAGUGAAGGAGAGGUGAGUAAGAGAAAAAGGUGAUGGGAGCCAUUUGCUCUGGGAAAUGUGUGGUCUAUAAAAGCAAGGCAAUGUCCAUGGUGGAAAGAGCGCAGAUAUAAAACACAGGCUGCAAACAGGUUGUGAAAUGAAGAACUAUUGAAAGCAUUCAGAUAUUCAACUCAGAAGCUGCAGAUCAGAGCAUUGCAAGAGGUUUGAUGAAGAAAUGAUGCCUCCUGGGCAUUUUGAAUUUUGGAACAAGUGAGAACAAACUUUGCUUUGAUUUAAUAGAGGAAAGGCUUUCAAAACCAGACAUGAAUUACUUGGAGCCUCACUUGCUUCAGUACUUGGAUACACAAGGCCUUAAAAG